rnacentral:lncRNA from 1 species
CUAUCCAGUACGUGCACAGCCAGCCUGAAAGUCCUGUGGAUUUCAGAUAGUGUUGUUCUGCCUGUAGCAACUGAUGUGAGCAUGCUCUCAUGACUUGGGAGUACCACCAAGCACCCAGAGAGCAAGAGGGGGGCUGUAGAAAUUUGCUAAAGAGGCGCCAUCAAAGUGAAAACACCAUCAUUCAUUUCCAGUCAAAAGAAAACCAGUGCUGUCCAUGGCCCCUCAAGGGCAGGCAGGGGUUCUGCAGCUGGCUGCUGCUGCUCAAGGUGGGGUACCCACUGCUGGCCAGUGCAAGCUUCUCUCCGCUGUGCAUUCCACACAGACCCUUCACAUCCUCUGUGCUGAGCAUCAGGUAAGAAUAUUUUGAUCCCAUCUCAUGCCCUUGCUCCCUGUUCGCUUGCAUCUCAUACACUUAGGUUACAGGGACACCACCAUCAUCCCACCCAGUCAUGUGCUGGGUCCUGCUGGGG